UACGUAGGGUGCAAGCGUUAUCCGGAAUUAUUGGGCGUAAAGAGCUCGUAGGCGGUUUGUCACGUCUGCUGUGAAAACUGGAGGCUCAACCUCCAGCCUGCAGUGGGUACGGGCAGACUAGAGUGGCGGUAGGGGAGAUUGGAAUUCCUGGUGUAGCGGUGGAAUGCGCAGAUAUCAGGAGGAACACCGAUGGCGAAGGCAGAUCUCUGGGCCGUAACUGACGCUGAGGAGCGAAAGCAUGGGGAGCGAAACAGG
rnacentral:rRNA from 1 species